rnacentral:tRNA from 1 species
CUUGUAGCUCAGUGGAUAGAGUACCCGGCUACGAACCGGUUGGUCGCAGGUUCAAAUCCUGCCAGGC